GUAGACUUAGUUUAAUAUAAAACAUUAGAUUGUGAUUCUGAAAACAGAGGUUAAAACCCUCUAGUCCACC
rnacentral:tRNA from 1 species